GAUGAACGCUGGCGGCGUGCCUAAUACAUGCAAGUCGAGCGGACGGACGAGAAGCUUGCUUCUCUGAUGUUAGCGGCGGACGGGUGAGUAACACGUGGAUAACCUACCUAUAAGACUGGGAUAACUUCGGGAAACCGGAGCUAAUACCGGAUAAUAUUUUGCACCGCAUGGUUCAAAAGUGAAAGACGGUCUUGCUGUCACUUAUAGAUGGAUCCGCGCUGCAUUAGCUAGUUGGUAAGGUAACGGCUUACAAAGGCAACGAUGCAUAGCCGACCUGAGAGGGGGAUCGGCGACACGGGAGGUUGGACACGGUCCAUGCUCCUGAGGGAGGCAGCAGUGGGGAAUGUGACGCAAUGGGCGAAAGCCUGACGGAGCAACGCCGCGUGAGUGAUGACGGUGUUCGGUUCGUAAAACUCUGUUAUUAGGGAAGAACAUAUGUGUAAGUAACUGUGCACAUCUUGACGGUACCUAAUCAGAAAGCCACGGCUAACUACGUG
rnacentral:rRNA from 1 species